AUGGUGAUGAGAGUCAUGGUGGUUGUGCUUUCUGCUGUGUUGACUGACAGAUUGGGUGUGGUGAGGCCCACCUUGACCAUCCUCCCUCCCUCCAAAGAGGAGGAGAAGCAGAGCAGUGCCACUGUGGUGUGUCUGGCCACCGGGGGCUUCCCCUCAAGCUGGACACUGGACUGGAAGAUGGGGGGCACCAGGAUGUCCUCAGGUGUGUCAAACAGCCUGGAGGUCCUGGAAACAAAUGGCCACUACAGCUGGAGCAGCACCCUGAGCCUCUCUGCAGACCAGUGGAGGAAGGCGGGCUCAGUGAGCUGUGAGGCCAGUCUGAGUGGACAGAGCCCCGUCACUCAAACCUUGAACGCUGACCAGUGCUCGGAGUAGAGCUUCAGCAACACUUCCUGUCUGCAAAUGAUGUGUUUUAUAAUUUGAUGAAGCUACAUGUUUCCUCUGUUGUGAUAUUUCUGCAGAUGUUUGACUCUUGUUGAUGUGCAUGCAGAUUUCAUCAGCUAAUCUUUUCCAUAUUGUGCUUUA